AACACCUCUCUCUUUCUCCCUCUUCCUCUCUAACCCUUUUUGAUUGAAAACAGGGAGGGACUUGAGGACGGAGGAGUUGAGAUCGCAGGAGGCGGAGCGGACGGGCUCGACAUAGAAGACGAGGUGGGUGCGGAGGUUGUGGUAGUUGCAGCGAAGGAACCGGUGGUGGUAGCGGGAGCGAAGGAGAUACUAGCGAUCUUAGAAGUGGAGGAAGGCCAUGAGGACCACGACGAAGAAGAGGAUGACGGUGGCGCCGAGCAUGAUCUGUCUACUGACGACGUAGCAAACAUCCCCCCCCCCCGGGCGAGGGAGAUCGUUGUCGGGGAGCGCGAGAGCAGAUCCAGCUCUGACAAUAUGAACGACACCGCCUCCAAUGACAAUCAGGACGCGGCCGACAAACCCCACAAGGACUGGCGGUAACGCUAACACACUCCCCAGCAAAUCCGGUAGCUUGAGGCGUAUGAACUUCAUGCUCAUCAAUCUCCCUUCAUCUUCAUCCUCUCUCUCCUCCACCACUUCAUUUUCCUUAUUUGUUUUUUUUGUCGAUAAAAAAAAAAUUAGUGGGAUAGAUCAGAGGAGAGGUGAAAAUUCUUUUAAUUUUAUUUUAAUCUUAUUUUAUUAUUUAUUAUAAUUAAAAUUUUAAAAACAAUUUUUUAUUUUAAAUUUUGAGCCAUGUCAGAUGUGCGCAUGAUACGUUAGAAUGCACAUCAACAAGUCGUGACGGCAUUAGACGACAUAUGACGAAGUGCACAUGAUUCGAACAUUUUGUACCAAAUCCUAACAAAAAAUUCAUUUUGUUUAAAGUGUUAUAU